GUGCUCACAUCAGCAGCACAUAUACUAAAAUUAGAAUGAAACAGAGAAGAUUAGCAUGGCCCCUUCACAAGGAUAGUAAGCAAAUUGGGGUAGUGUUCUAUGUAUUU